rfam:Desulfatitalea sp. BRH_c12 BRHa_1007101, whole genome shotgun sequence.
AAUAAUCAUGAAGAAGCCCUUCGGGGCUGGCAACCUGCUCUCCCUGCAAGGUGCCAAUUUCAGCUACGCUGAAACAUGAGGUCGGUAACGACAACAGGGACUCACUCG